UUUAUGUAGCCCCAAGCACUUUGACAUGAGAAGAGGUUAAAUAUAUAAAAUAGCUUUGACAUGCUACAUUGUGUUCCAAUAUAUAGAUGUUGAUGACAUUUCCUAAGUAUGGCAUUAUCACUGUUGAGAUGUAUGAGGCGGACAGGAUUGGGUAGAUUGAGAAAUACUUGCAGUGUUGUUAACUGGAAUCUUUCUGUUUUGGCUAUUCCCAAUGAAGGAGCUCAAUUAACCCAAAAGAGAUGUGCUCGCAUGUUUCCAAAAAACCCAUUCAACCGAGUUGACAAUGACAAACUGCCAGAGGAUUUUACAUUGGUAUACUGCAACACAAAUGGAGAAGGACUGAAGCAAUAUUUUCUUAUGAUAUCUUCAAGUUUGUUGAUAACAGGUGGAGGUGUUAUUUCUUAUGGUGGUUUGAUCAAAACAGUUAGCGAUCAUCCUGCAUUUUUCUUCGGAGUUACAUCUUGUAUAGCAUUAUGUAUUGGUUGUAUAUUAGUAAUUAAUCGAUGCACGAUGCUGAGAAUUUAUAAAAAUAUGAAAACUGAUUUAUAUGUUGGUGUUAGACCUAAGUGGUUGUUCUUACAGGAGAAAUUUACUUUCAGGCUUGAAAACAUUGUCAGGAAUGAUUGGAAAUACAGAGAUAAAAUACAUCACAACUAUCUGAAAGGGAAUCUUAGAAUAAAGGAUAGACCAUUUGUACUUUCAAUAAUGGAUUUUUCAUCAUCCCAGUUCUACAAUGAAAUAUAUGGACAUCAGAAAUUUCUGAGUGAAGAAGCUAAAAACUUUCCCAAUAAAGAUAAAUGAAUAUUAUA